rnacentral:rRNA from 1 species
GCAGUGGGGAAUAUUGGACAAUGGGCGCAAGCCUGAUCCAGCCAUGCCGCGUGAGUGAUGAAGGCCUUAGGGUUGUAAAGCUCUUUUGUCCGGGACGAUAAUGACGGUACCGGAAGAAUAAGCCCCGGCUAACUUCGUGCCAGCAGCCGCGGUAAUACGAAGGGGGCUAGCGUUGCUCGGAAUCACUGGGCGUAAAGGGCGCGUAGGCGGCCAUUCAAGUCGGGGGUGAAAGCCUGUGGCUCAACCACAGAAUUGCCUUCGAUACUGUUUGGCUUGAGUAUGGUAGAGGUCAGUGGAACUGCGAGUGUAGAGGUGAAAUUCGUAGAUAUUCGCAAGAACACCAGUGGCGAAGGCGGCUGACUGGACCAUUACUGACGCUGAGGCGCGAAAGCGUGGGGAGCAAACAGGAUUAGA